rnacentral:rRNA from 1 species
UACGUAGGGGGCUAGCGUUGUCCGGAAUCAUUGGGCGUAAAGAGCGCGUAGGCGGCCAGAUAAGUCCGGUGUGAAAGUCACAGGCUCAACCUGUGAAUGCCGCUGGAAACUGUCUGGCUAGAGUCCGGGAGGGGCGAGUGGAAUUCCUGGUGUAGCGGUGAAAUGCGUAGAUAUCGGGAGGAGCACCAGUGGCGAAGGCGACUACCUGGCCUGUUCUUGACGCUGGAGGCGCGAAAGCUAGGGGAGCAAACGGG